rnacentral:rRNA from 1 species
UACGUAGGUGGCAAGCGUUGUCCGGAUUUACUGGGCGUAAAGAGCGCGCAGGCGGUCGGAUAAGUCGAAUGUGAAAGCCCCUGGCUCAACCAGGGAGGGUCAUUCGAUACUGUUCGACUCGAAGGCAGGAGAGGGAAGUGGAAUUCCGGGUGUAGUGGUGAAAUGCGUAGAUAUCGGGAGGAACACCAGUGGCGAAGGCGACUACCUGGCCUGUUUCUUGACGCUGAGGCGCGAAAGCUAGGGGAGCAAACGGG